AUUGAACGCUGGCGGCAGGCCUAACACAUGCAAGUCGAACGGUAACAGAAAGCAGCUUGCUGCUUUGCUGACGAGUGGCGGACGGGUGAGUAAUGUCUGGGAAACUGCCUGAUGGAGGGGGAUAACUACUGGAAACGGUAGCUCAUACCGCAUAACGUCGCAAGACCAAUGAGGGGGACCUUCGGGCCUCUUGCCAUCGGUUGUGCCCAGAUGGGAUUAGCUAGUAGGUGGGGUAACGGCUCACCUAGGCGACGAUCCCUAGCUGGUCUGAGAGGAUGACCAGCAACACGGGAAGUGAGACACGGGACAGACAACUACGGGAGGCAGCAGUGGGGAAUAUUGCACAAUGGGCGAAAGCAGGAUGCAGCAAUGCCGCGUGUAUGAAGAAGGCGUUCGGGUUGUAAAGUACUUUCAGCGGGGAGGAAGGGAGUAAAGUUAAUACCGUUGCUCAUUGACGUUAACCGCAGAAGAAGCACCGGCUAACUCCGUG
rnacentral:rRNA from 1 species